GGGUUUUGUAGAAAAUUUGAGGAUUUGGGGUUUUUUUUGGGGGGGGUUUGAAUCAAGGGACCCCCCCGGGUUAAUGGGAGCGACUCCCAAAAUCGGGGAGGGGGAACUGAAAUGAGACCCCCCCCCCCAAAAAACAAGGAAAAAAGGAGGAGGAACCCACCCAAAAUGAAAGAAAAUCCCGGGAUUUCCCCCCCAAAAAACCCAAAAUCAGCACGGGAGCGGCCCCAAAAUGAAACAAACCCAAAAAACACCCAAAAAACCCCAAAAUCGGCACAGGAAUAGCCCCGAAACGAAACAAACCCAAAAAAAACACCCAUAAAACCCCAAAAAUCGGGACGGGGAUGGCUCCAGAACGAAAUAGACCCAAAAAAACACCCAAAAAACCCCAAAAUCAGCACGGGAAUGGUUCCAGAACAAAACAAACCCAAAAAACACCCAAAAUCCCUAAAAAUCGGCACGGGAGCAGCCCCGAAACCAAACAAACCCAAAAAACCCGAAAAAAACCCCAAAAACGGGCACGGGAGCGGCCCCGCACGAGCAGCUCGGGCACGCGCGGCGGCUGCAGCGGGAGCGCGGACGGGACCGGCACCGAACCCGGGACAAGAACCGGGACCGGGACCGAACCCGGGACCGGGACGGACACCGGGACCGAACCCGGGACCGGGACAGGAACCGGCACCGGCACAGAAACUGGGACCGAACCUGGGACCGAACCCGGCACCGGAACAGGAACCGGGACAGGAACCGGGACCGAACCCGGCACCGGGACAGGAACCGGGACCGAACCCGGGACCGGGACGGACACCGGGACCGAACCCGGGACCGGGACCGACAGCGGGACCGGAACCGGGACAGGAACCGGGACCGGGACAGGAACUGGGACCGGCACCGGGAAAGGAACCGGGACCGGGACCGGGAAAGGAACCGGGACCAAACCCGGGACAGAACCCGGGACCGACACCCGCACCGGGACCGGGAGCGGCUCCGGGAGCGGCGCCGCCAUGGCUGCCCGGGGCGGGGGCGUGGCCAAGGAGGGGGCGUGGCUCGGAACGAGGCCAAUGACCCGUGAGGGGCGUGGCCUAAGUGGGUGUGUUCGGUGUGGGCGUGGCCUAAGUGGGUGUGCCCGGCGGGGCGUGGCUUAAGUGGGUGUGUUUGGGGCGUGGCCACGGGGGUUGCG
rnacentral:lncRNA from 1 species